ensembl:lncRNA
UGUGAGUAUGCGUUGACUAGUGUUUGGAGCACCAGCCUCGUCAACAGGAGUUUAAUUCACCGAGUCGUGUACUUGCGUACAUACGUGACGACACCGGAGUCAUUCAUCCAUUCAUCCGGUGUAAAAAACCCUCAAAGCUAGAUCUGGUAAUGUAGAGUGUGCAGUUACAUAACAAUAGUUGAUUUGGCAGGACAACGUGAAUGUGAAGUGACAGGUGUCUGCUACGAUCACUCACCGGGAGGUCCGAUGUGUCAGCGAUUGCAAUGCAUCAAGGGAAAUAUUACAUUUAUUGUUGGAUUGUUUAACACAUUUGACAGAUUAUUAUUAGUAUUCCUGCAAAAUGUGUCUUCCAGCUUCACAAAUGAAAUAGUUUUGAGUUGAUUAACUGAGGAACAGUUGAUUGCUUAAAAAUGAAGAACUGCUGUUAGCCGUCAUUUUUCCCAUUGGAUCCUAAACGAGUGCCACUAGCUAUUAGUAGGCCAAUUAUUGGAUUGCUCAGGUAUCCAGUAUGUUGACAAUGUAGCCACUUGGUGUAACCCUUCACACCCUGCGUGGAUGAACUGCAGGUCCGUACAGUUGCUGAAUAAAGUUGUUCUUUGUGGACCUACUACAGCCACCGGUCCUGCAGAAACAUAUCGGUGUUUGACUUUUAACUUUUGACGACACACGUUGAUGCAGGAGGCGGAUGAGGAGGAGGAAGAGUCGUGCUGGAUUAAGGAGCGCCUCCAGGCCUUCCUGCACUGGCUGCAGGGUCUGCAAUGGGUCCAGCGCCUCUGCAACAAAAGGCAACCAACAGUGACGUGUUUUCAAACCGCUGCCCACAUCUGUACCUUUCUUCACCUUUCACCCUUGAGUAACGCUGUCUGUUACUACGCAGACAGGAGAGCUGCUACACCACGCUAACUAGGGGAUGCAAUCAUACCUUUUGUGUGUAGGUGCACUGCCCCAAAAGCACAGUUGGAUCUAAAUGAGGACCAUGAUGAUCCUCAGCAUUUAUGCUAAUCUCAAAUGGCCCCUCAAAGUGGGGAAACCAAAUGUUUGCCCCAAGUCACGGCAUGCUGCAAAAACUGUGUGUGUUUGUGUUCUUUCUUCCCUUUUAAACUUAUGAUGAUGAAUAGCAGCGUUCUUCAGAAGUGAAUGGAAAGUCUGUACUUCCAACCAGCAAAGGUUGACUUGCGUGAGAAGAGGAGGGAUCUCUUCUUUUCUUCGGGGUCCAAAGAGAAAAACACCGUUGUUUCUGCACUUCCUUCCCGGUACAGAGAGGCCGGGUAGUGCUGGUAUUUAUAGUCUCAGGGAUGUCAGGGCCGUACCUCGGGGACACCCCAGGGGGACAACUUGGUGCAGAGUUUGGGACAAAGAUCCCCGUAGGCGAGGUUACCAUCAGGCUUUGAACAUGACAGCUCCUGCAGACCCGACUCUGUGGUUCAACUCUACGGUGCAGACCAGCAACUACACACACACGCACACACACACACACACACACACACGCACGCAUUGACUCACUACAGAGGUGCAGUUGAGGACCUUUAGACUAGGGGACUUAUCAGAGCAUGUCCAUGCUUCCACAGCGUUUUCACAACAUGAAGAACGUUUAGUCCGGUCAUGAAAGCAAAAUCACAGGUGGAAAUAACACAUUUCAACUUUAUCUCUCAUAUUUCCCAAAUCAAGAUGUCUGCUGUGAUGCUCAGCAUCAGUCAUCCUGGAAACGAGUUCAGCUACGUCAAAAAAUCCUCCUGACGUAGAAAAUAUCCAUGUUUGAAUUAGCACUAAAUGAUGUUGCUGGUCCCUUCUGUGGUUACAGUUUGAUCCCAGUUUAGUCUGAACUAUACAAACAACACGGGCUGCCAUUUUAACACACAACAGAUGCUCCCAGCCCACAUACAGCCGAGUAUGCUGGGUUUGAAUACAUGAGACAUCCAAUGCAUCCGGAGCUUGCAGCUGAAGCUUCCCCAAGCACCACAGCCGGAGGUGACGGCGGAAACGCCAGAGCAGGACCGGUGAGACCAGGAUAGGUGAGAGCAGGACAGGUAAGACCAGGACAGGUCAGAGCAGGACCGGUGAGACCAGGACCGGUGAGAGCAGGACAGGUGAGAGCAGGACAGGUAAGACCAGGACAGGUGAGAGCAGGACCGGUGAGAGCAGGACCGGUGAGAGCAGGACAGGUGAGAGCAGGACAGGUCAGAGCAGGACCGGUGAGAGCAGGACAGUGAAACCAGCGAGAGGACGAGGCCGACAAUGAACCGUGCCCAGAGGACUUGGCAUGUGGGGCGGAGGUGCUUCUCUACCUUCAGUAGUCGUUAUGCCACCUGCUCCUUGACUUCCUCUACCGCAACACACAUUUAUCGUCUGAAA